GACGAACGCUGGCGGCGUGCCUAAUACAUGCAAGUUGAGCGCUGAAGGUUGGUACUUGUACCAACUGGAUGAGCAGCGAACGGGUGAGUAACGCGUGGGGAAUCUGCCUUUGAGCGGGGGACAACAUUUGGAAACGAAUGCUAAUCCCGCAUAAAAACUUUAAACACAAGUUUUAAGUUUGAAAGAUGCAAUUGCAUCACUCAAAGAUGAUCCCGCGUUGUAUUAGCUAGUUGGUGAGGUAAAGGCUCACCAAGGCGAUGCUACAUAGCCGACCUGAGAGGGUGAUCGGCCACAUUGGGACUGAGACACGGCCCAAACUCCUACGGGAGGCAGCAGUAGGGAAUCUUCGGCAAUGGACGAAAGGCUGACCGAGCAACGCCGCGUGAGUGAAGAAGGUUUUCGGAUCGUAAAACUCUGUUGGUAGAGAAGAACGUUGGUGAGAGUGGAAAGCUCAUCAAGUGACGGUAACUACACAGAAAGGGACGGCUAACUACGUG
rnacentral:rRNA from 1 species